AGUAUUUAAUUAAUUUUAUUAAUAAAAAUUUUAUUUUUAUUUAAAAUUAUAAUAAUAAUUGAAGUUAUUUAAUUAAAUUAAUCUAAUUAAAUUAAAUUAUAGUGAGAGUAAUGUAAAUGAAGAUUAAUAAAAUCGUUAAAAAAAAAUUUAAGUUAUUGUACUUUUUGUAUCAAGGAUUAUUAAAUUAUAAUUUUAUUAUUUAAGAGAUCUCGAAUUUAAAAGAGCGAAUAGGUUAGGAUAGUUAAUGUUAUAUAAUUAUUAUUAAUAAUUUAUUAGUGAAGAAAUUUUAGUCAAUUUUAAAGAUAUCUAGUUUUUUUUUUUUUAAAUUUAAUUUAGUCUUAGUAGUUAGAAAUUAUUUAAUUAUAUAUAAAAAUUUUUUUAUUAAGAUAAUAAUUUAUGGGAUAAACUAUAAAUUUUAUUAAAAUUAGGUAAAUAAUUUUUAUUAAAAAUUAUAUUUAUAGAAUUUGAAAUUAAUAAAAAAAAUUUAAUAAUUUAUUAUAAUAAUUAAUUUUAAAAUUUAUAUUAUAAUAUAAAAUAAAAUAUUUAAUUAUGUUAAGAAAAAAUAAUUAUAAUUUUUUAAAUUAAUAUAUAAUGAUAAUAUUAGUAUAAAUAAAAUUGGAGAAAGUAAAGUAAUAUUGUUAGAGAAUAUUAAUUUAAGGAAUUAGGCAAAUUUGUUAAGUCCAGCUGUUUAAUAAAAACAUAGCUUUAUGAUUAUAAUUUAAGGUUAUUUCUGCCCCCUGAUUGUUUUAAAUGGCUGCAGUAUCCUGACUGUGCAAAGGUAGCAUAAUCAAUUGUUUUUUAAUUGGAAACCGGUAUGAACGGAGACAUGAGAUUUAAGCUGUCUUAAGUUAAAAAUUAGAAAUUGUUUGUUGAGUAAAAAAACUUAAGUAUGAGUAUGGGACGAGAAGACCCUAUAGAAUUUGAAAUAAGUUUUAAAGAGAAUAAGAGUUAGGUGUAAGUUUAUUUAAAGAUUAUUUUUAAUUGGGAGGAUUGUUAAAUUAAAUAAACUUUAAUUAAUAUAAUAGUACUAAUUAGUAAAUUUUAGGUUGGCAUUAUUGAUUGAAAAGAAUUAAUUACCUUAGGGAUAACAGCGUAAUAUUUUUAGAAAGAUCAUAUUGAUAAAAAUGGAUGCGACCUCGAUGUUGAAUUAAGAUAAAAAUUAAAUGAAGAAGUUUAAUAUUUAAGUCUGUUCGACUUUUAAAAUCUUACAUGAUUUGAGUUUAGAUCGGCGUGAGCCAGAUCGGUUUCUAUCUAUAUUUAAUUUAAAAAUUUUUGUACGAAAGGACUUUAUUUUUGUAAAAUUUAUAGGAUGUAUAUAUGAUAUAUAUUAAUGAUUAUGUUAAUAAUUACUUUGGCAGAAUAGUGUGU
rnacentral:rRNA from 1 species